rnacentral:rRNA from 1 species
UACAGAGGUCUCAAGCGUUGUUCGGAUUCAUUGGGCGUAAAGCGCUUUAAGGCGGUUCGGUAAGUCGGGUGUGAAACCUCCAGGCUCAACCUGGAGACGCCACUCGAUACUGCUGUGACUAGAGUUCGGUAGGGGAUCACGGAAUUCCUGGUGUAGCGGUGAAAUGCGCAGAUAUCAGGAGGAACACCGGUGGCGAAGGCGGGUCUCUGGGCAGUAACUGACGCUGAGGAGCGAAAGCGUGGGGAGCGAACAGG